rnacentral:lncRNA from 1 species
ACCCUCCAAAGAUUAUAUUGUUUAUGCUUAAGGCUAUCAUGCCCCUUCCUCCAACUCCCUUAGGGUUUUGGUCAUGAGAACAAGAAUGUCAAUGGCUUUCCAGCAACGACAUCUGCAGUAUUUGGCAACUUGCUUUCAAGCAGCCACUCAUACAAUGUACAUUUCCCAUCUCACUCCCUUUCCCUGAGAGGUCUGGAAAAGUCUUAUAUAUUUUGCAAGCCUAGAUUAGCGUCAUUCUUCAAGCGCCAUCUAGUUUCUUGGAUUCACUAUGGCCUGUAUACAUGCAUAUCUGGCAAGCCUCCAACAAUUUCUAGGCAAGGAGAGAGGGUAAGAAAAAGCUGGUAUUUGUAGAGUUUAUAAGCCACUUUCACAUGUAUUCUCAUGUAAUCCUUGUGGCACUCCUGAGAUGUAGAUGUUAAGUAUCAUUUUGCAGCUGAGGAAACUGAAGCUCCCAGAGUUAGGCGACUUCUCAGUGAAGGGAAGGGCCAUCAAGAGGGAGCCAACCUCAGUCCACAUGACACCUUUGCUUCCACUGAGCUUAGGGAAUUUACCAAAUAGGUGAGGAGACAGGGGAAAGACUUCAAAUCAAAACUGACAUGGAACCAAGAGAGUCCCCCCCAGCAUAGGUCAGACAUACUUCAUUUUUUUUUUUUUUUUUGGCAGAGGGAGGAGGUUUCAUGUAGUACAUUUCAUUUCUCUUUGCCUACAGUUCUGACAUGAAAGUUACCCUUAAUCUGCCGACUCGUUCUGAUGAGAUUGCUUUGGAAGUCACCCCAAAGUCACUGUGGCUAAAUGGGAUGUGGCUGUUAAGAUAGAAAUGCAUUUCAGUUAAUACCUCAGCUGCACUGAAGCUAAGCCAGUGCCAACCCUAAUUCCUAAAGGAAAACAAAUCCACAAUAAUCCAUCUUCUAAUUCUGCACAGACUGGCACAAUACCAGGUCAUAUCAGCUGUGAGUCCUCCUUCCUUCACACCAAGGCCCAGACCUACCCCUCACCAGCACUCACUGAACCUGAGGUCAGUGAGUCACACACGUAGAAGUGUGCAGCCCAAGACAACAUCGCCCAUUUCCUUGGUUGAUCUGAAAUGCGAGCAUUUAUUCUGAUGACAGAAAUUAGCUCAUUUUUUUCAUUGAAAAAUCACCUUGACUUGAACAGGAAUCAAGGCAAGCUCAGUUUUUUUGGUUUUGUUUGUUUUCGUUUUGGCCCACAGCAUGCAGAAGUUCUGGGCCAGGGAUAGAACCUUGUACCACAGUAGUAACCACAGCUACGGCAGUGACAAUGCUGGAUCCUUAAGCCACUGAGCCGCAAGGGAACUCCAUGAACUCUGUUUUAAGGGUGGCACGGAAGGCUUUGUUGUGUUAAACUUGGCUUUAUCUUCUUUCUUUCUUUCUUCCUUUUCUUUUUUUUUUAGGGGAUGCACCUGUGGCAUAUGGAAGUUUCCAGGCUAGGGGGCAAAUUGGAGCUGCAGCUGGGGCCUAAGCCACAGCCAUGGCAACACCAGAUCUGAACCACAAUGGUGACCUAUGCAGCAGCUUGUGGCGAUGCUGGAUUUUUAACCCACUGCGUGAGGCAAGGGAUCCAACCCACAUCCUCACGGAGACUAUGUCAGGUUCUUAACUCACUGAGCCACAAUGGAAACUCCUAUCUUCUUUCUUUUUGAGUAUAUUUAAUUUUAAUUUUCUCCCAGCCUUUGAGGGAAGGCCUUGAAAUUUACUCAUUCCUACUGAGCUGGAAAUAACUAAUGAGAAGGUCCAUUACUUUCUAGAAAUAUUCACAUGUGGAAUAUUUGCCUGGUCCACACAGCCGAAAGCGUUUACUAUAUGGCUCUUUACAGAAAAUGUUUGCCACCCCUUUAAGUAAACUGUUCAGCAGCAAGCAAGUAGCUCCAAGAAGAAAGCAGUUCAGAAGGGGAACCAUAUACCCUUUAAAUAACAAAUGUGAGGAAAGCUUUUACUUCAGUUAGCUUCACCCUUGUUAGCAUAUAUUUAAUCCCCAGACAUAGAAGGCUGUAGAUAUCCCAGGGCAGUGGACCUAGGGGCAUCUUCCCUGCAAAAUACUUGCUAAGGCAGGGGGUAGGUGAUCUCAUCCACAGGCGGGCCAGUGUGCAAUGGCUUUUGGGUGGCUUCCAAAAAGUGGUACUCUGGUGCCCGGCUGCCACCACCAUUUUGACUUAAGGGCUGCAUAAAUAAUUUUAACUUGUUAUGUCCAAAUCUCCUGGGGCGGGGAAUGCCUUCAAGUUAUCUUUUAGAUAAAGGAGGCUUUUUUCAACUAAUGUAUUCAUUAAGUCAUUUGUUCCAUAAACAUUUGCUGAGCACCUACUAUGUACUAGGUACAAGACAUACAAAUAAGACUGAAAUACAGCCACAGUCCCUUUUUUUUCAGGGAGAAAAAAGGUUGGAGAAACAGAUAAUGGUUGAAAGAGUUUAAACACAGGACACAGUUUUAUAAUAAAGAUACAAGUAAGACACCCAUGGGAACUCGGAGAACACUUAGAGCUUGGGGUGGAAAUGGUGGGAAGUAAUGUCUCACUAGGUACUAAGUAAAGCUAUUGAUGAGUCAUUUGGUUACACAGAAUUUUGAAGAACAGUAAGAUUGACACCACAUAGUAGGUCCCCCAAUAGUACCUGGGGAUUUCAGAAAGUCCCAAGCUCUUUCUUCCUGGGCUAGUUUGCUAAGGCUGCAACAACAAAGUACCACAGACAGGGUGCCUUAAGCAGAAAUCUACUUCUCACAAUUCUGGAGGCUGGAAAUCUAAGAUCAAGGUGUCAGUGGACCUGGCAUCUUCUGAGGACUCUCUCCUUGCCUUACAGAUAAUUGUCUUCUCCCUUCCAUCUUUGUGCUAAUAAUUCUAUUUCUUUUUUUAAAUUUAUCAUUAUUUAUUUCAAUUAUAGCUUAUUUCUACUUCUUGAUUCCAGGGAAAGAGCAUUGUAGGUAAAAACUGUAAUUUUUUUUCUUUUCCUUUAAAUGGAAAAUCUAUAAGACACUAAACAUAAGGGCUUUGGCAUCCUGCUAAUAAAAUGUUACAUAAAAAAGAGGUGAGAGCCAUUCCCAAUGCUUUGAACUCAAGAGCACAGAGCAUCAGGGCAGUGUCCAGCAAAGUGGUAACUGUGACAGGAGGACCAGUUGCUACUGAACAACCAGGAGGGGCAGGGAAAGAAGCCAUGAACAGCGAGCCCAUGAUAACUGACCAGAUGCGUUUCCGAGCAUCUGUGAGACUGAGAACACUCUGAAAUAUUUGGUUAGGACUUUGCUGGGGGUCGAGAUCAUGCAGUGAAAUAGGUUACAGCAGAUUUUAGAUAAAAGGAUUAUGGGUAUUAGUUUUGAAAUUAUACCAAUGGGAAGUAAAGUUUACAAUCUGUAUUCUUCCUGUUUGUAAUCUUAUUUUCAGAUUUGUCAGUUUUGUUUGUUUGUUUGUUUUUUACUUCUUUCUCUUUAUAAUUGAGAAAGUAUUUAGCAAGUCUACCUGGAAUGGAAGAAAAUAUGACUAUUCGCCUACUGAAAGCAGGAGAAAUUGGGUAAAUAUCCUUUCAACGGCGUGGAAAAUGUAAAUCUAAGAUGGCUCAGCUAGCCUCCAAGCUCAGAUCUAGUCUAAAUCUGAGAUUUCAACCAGCUUGAUUUUUCUUUUUUUUCAAAGAUUUUUCUUUUUUCUAUUAUAGUUGAUUUACCAUGUUUUGUCAAUUUCUGCUAUAUAGUAAAGUGACCCAAGUCAUAUGUGUGUGUGUGUGUAUACAUAUAUAUAUACACACACAUAUACGCACACACACACACUCUUUUUCUCAUACUAUCUUCCAUCAUGUUCUAUCAUAAAUGAUUGGAUAUAGUUCCCUGUGCUAUACUGCAGGAUCUCAUUGCUAAUCUGAAAUUUUAUUUAUUUUUUUUUCAAAAGAAAUCUUUUAUUCCUGCAUUUCUCAAAAUUGACCAAUGUGUGAAUCUUUCUUAAAGGAAAAAAUAAAUGCUCACAGAAUUCCAGCACAAAAUAACCUUUUCUUUUUUUUUUUGGCCACACUUGCAGCAUGCACAAGUUCUCAGGUCAAGGAUCAAACCCACACCACAGCAGCAACUCGAGCCAUAGCAGUGACAACGCCAAAUCCUUAACCUGCUGAGCCACUAGGGAAUUCCACAAACUAACAUUUUUAAUGUUACUUAAGUAUAAACAUGUAUAUGCUUAUUGAUCUUCUGUAAAUACAAACCCAAAAUUCAUACAUUAAGUACAAAUAAAAUAAAUGAAGACUAAUGAAAACUAAAUUUAAAAUAUCAAUUAAAUAUGAUAUGUAAUGAUUUGCAGAAGCAAAACAGAUGAUUUAGGUUUUGUUUUUGUUUUUUGCUUAUUUUCUUGCCUCAGCACACAGCAGCUUAAUGUGGGAUCUUAGUUCCCAGACCAGGGGUUGAACCUGGCCCACAGCAGUGACAGCAGUGAGUCCUAACCACUGGACCACGAGGGAACUCUCAAUUUUGGUUUUAAUGCUAGAAAGAAGUAGCCUCUGGUACAAUUCCAGAUUUAGUAAUUUUUAUAUUCCAAAAAAAAGCAUUAAAGCAGCAAAUGUUGGAAUUUCUGUUGUGGUGCAAUGGGAUCAGGGGUGUCUUAGGAGCACUAGGAUGCAGGUUUGAUCCCUGGCCUGGCACAGUGGGUUAAGGAUCCAGCAUUCCCGCUGUAGCUGUAGCUUAGCCUGCAACUGCAGCUCAGAUCUGAUUCCUGGUCCGGAAGCCCCAUAUGCCACUGGGUGGCUAAAAAAAAAAAAGGCAGCAAGUUAUCUGUGCAGUGUAUCCAUUCACAAAACAAAUAUUUAGGAUUGCUAUGCUAUAUGCCAUGUGAUGACACCAUUCUGCCAUCUUUUUGCAGUCAAACUACAACCAAAGCUUUAGCAAAGCACUCAGCAACAUCCUUGACCCUUUGCAGGGUUUGAACAUAAACACAAACGUAAUUUCCGGCGCUUAUCAGCGCGCUGCAUCUUAAUUUUAAGGUAGUUAUUCAGAUGACCAGAAUUGUCUUAAACAUACUGUUUAGAAUGGCAAGACAGCAUAAUAUUUAAGACAUUCAUUAAGAGAUCCCGUCAUGGCUCAGCAGUUAACUAGUAACCAUGAGGACACGGGUUUGAUCCCUGGCUUCAGUCAGUGGGUUAAGGAUCCAGCAUUGCUGUGAAUUGUGGUAUAUGUCACAGACGUGGCUCAGAUCCUGUGUUGCAGUGUCUGUGGUGCAGGCCAGCAGCUACAGCUCCGAAUGGACCCCUGGCCCGGGAACUUCCAUCUGCCGUAGGUGUGGC